rnacentral:rRNA from 1 species
GCCUGAGAAACGGCUACCACAUCCAAGGAAGGCAGCAGGCACGCAAAUUACCCAAUCCCAGCUCUGGGAGGUAGUGACGAAAAAUAACAAUGCGGGACUCUUCCGAGUCUGCGUAAUUGGAAUGAGUACACUUUAAAUCCUUUAACCACAACCAAUUGGAGGGCAAGUCUGGUGCCAGCAGCCGCGGUAAUUCCAGCUCCAAUAGCGUAUAUUAAAGUUGUUGCGGUUAAAAAGCUCGUAGUUCGAGUUCAGUUCCGGACUGGCUGGGGAGGUCACCGCCCGGUGCUUCCCCGUCAGGCUCCGAACAGCUUUUAUAAACUAAAAGCCAAGUCGGUUUCGCCGGGGUGCUCUUCACCGAGUGUCCCGCGCGGCCGGCCAGUUUACCUUGAAUAAAUGAGAGUGCUCAAAGCAGGCUACUCUUAAAAAUAAAGCCCGAAUGUUACCUGCAUGGAAUGAUGGAAGAUGAAUCUCGGUUCCAUUUUAUUGGCUCUGGGAAUCCGAGUUAAUGAUAAACAGGGACGGUCGGGGGCAUCCGUACUACGACGCGAGAGGUGAAAUUCAGUGACCGUCGUAGGACGAACAACAGCGAAAGCAUUUGCCAUGAAUGUCUUCGUUGAUCAAGAACGAAAGUUAGAGGAUCGAAGGCGAUCAGAUACCGCCCUAGUUCUAACCCUAAACGAUGCUGACUAGCAAUCCGCCGUCGUUAUUCCCAUGACGUGGCGGGACGCCCCCGGGAAACCAUAAGUCUUUGAGUUCCGGGGGUAGUAUGGUUGCAAAACUGAAACUUAAAGGAAUUGACGGAAGGGCACCACCAGGAGUGGAGCCUGCGGCUUAAUUUGACUCAACACGGGAAACCUCACCAGGCCCGGACACCAGAAGGAUUGACAGAUUAAGAGCUCUUUCUCGAUUUGGUGGGUGGUGGUGCAUGGCCGUUCUUAGUUGGUGGAGUGAUUUGUCUGGUUAAUUCCGGUAACGAACGAGACUCUGGCCUACUAAAUAGUCGACGGGCGUUUUUGUGCAUGGGCCCCGUUCGAUUAUGUCUUCUUAGAGGGAUGAGCAGCGAGUAUAGCUGCAGGAGAUUGAGCAAUAACAGGUCUGUGAUGCCCUUAGAUGUCCUGGGCCGCACGCGCGCUACACUGAAUGGGUUAGCGGGUUCUCCUUCUCCGAGAGGAGCGGGAAAUCGCGUGAAAACCAUUCGUGAUAGGGAUUGGGGCUUGCAAUUGUUUCCCAUGAACGAGGAAUUCCCAGUAAGCGCAAGUCAUCAGCUUGCGUUGAUUAAGUCCCUGCCCUUUGUACACACCGCCCGUCGCUACUACCGAUUGAAUGAUUUAGUGAGGCCUUCGGACUGGCGGUCUUGGACUGGGUUCCAUUUGCUAUCUAACUCCAGCGAUGGGGGGCAGUGGACUCGCCAUGACGAGACGGAAAGAUGUCCAAACUUGAUCAUUUAGAGGAAGUAAAAGUCGUAACAAGGUUUCC